GGUCGUAUCGGUUCGAUCGGGUUACUCUUCAUAUAAAAUCGUGAAACCGAGAAGACUUCUCUUGUUGAUGGCGGGCCAUAUAAAUCGCAUUUGCGACUAAGCUGUAAAGCCAGUGGAUUACAAAGACGGAGAGCUCUCAAACUUGUGAAAGUUCAGAGUUUCAUCACAUCAUCGAGCGACCCCUCUC
rfam:Prevotella sp. CAG:604 genomic scaffold, scf92